UGCAAAGAAAUUCGUUUUGUAAAGCAAAAUUUCUCCGUGGUUUUUUGGGAGAAUUGCUAGAGAUUGAAAAGGGGUGGGGGUAUUUAAGCCACCAUCACGUGCAAUGCACAUUUUCACACAAAACUACAUGAACCCUAGCCUCUUUUGUCUCCACCUCUCCUCCCCCUUAUUAUUUCUUUUUAAUCCAUCAGAUUCUCCUCUAGCUGAUCAAUCGUUUGCUUCUUUAUAAUUGCUUUCAAUCCUAAAGUAGUCAUAUCCCAUAAACUUAAGUUUCACACCUUUGUUUAAUCAAAAUGAUUGCUUUGCUCAUACCACAUAAAAGUGAAGAACCCUAACCCCGUUCUCUCUAUUUGACUUGGCCUUCUAUUCAUGUCGUUUCGUCUCGGCUUUUCAUUUUCAGUCCUGGAUCAUCGCGUUCUUUAAGUUUGUUUUAGGGGUUUUCGAGCUACCGAUCACGGAUAGGAAAAAGUUGUACGGGAAACACAAAAAAGUGUGUGCCAUCUAAUCUUGAAGAUCUAUACGAGUUGUAAACGCAAAAGAGCGCAACAUGGGCGUUAUAUUUUUUGGGCGUGAUCAUAUGGAAAAGUUCAAAGGGUGAAAUGGUUGGAAAGAAAGAUGCUAGAUAGGUUCAAUAUUGAUCAGUCAAACUUUUGCUCCUUGUAAACUAAUACGUAUUGGGUUCAAUAUCAUCAUGGAAAUUGAUUUUCAUUCUCAGA